CCUUAUCACAGAGGCUUAAGGCUUUAUCUCAAGAGCCCCGUUAAUAGGGUGUGAUGGGUUUUAUCUGGUCCUUCGUAAAUUUGAGGCCCUGUUGUUAAUAAGGUUCACAUUUACGUGAACAUCAAGAACAUUUCUUACAAACUGUUUAUUUCAUAGCAAUUCUCGUGUGUUAAGAAAAAAAUAAUUUUAAUUGUUGUCAAAAUCUAUUAUUAAAAAUAUAAUUUUUAAGGCUGUUUUGAUUUUCAAAACGACCAGCAGGCGUUUUUGAAUCUGGAAUAUAUAAAAAGCCUUGCUGUUAUAUAUAGGCCUAUAUACAUAACUAUGCCUCCCUCUAUCGUCUUUUGACAGGCCUUGGUAUGUAUGUAUGAAUUUAUAUGUAUAUACUUAUACUUUCUUGUGUAUUUAUUAGUAUUUCUCGUCUGUAUUUUUCAAAAUGGAUUUAAGUUUAUCAGAUAGGAAACGGAUAAUAGAAAAUAAACACGUCCAUUUUUUAUAUGAAAGGAACUAAUCAAUGUCUCUUCCGUUUCAAUAUCCGAGAUAUAUAUUUCGAAAUAUAUCUCAAAGAAUCGUGAUAAGUGUUAUUAUGAACUGUGGAAUGUGAUUACUUUUAACAUCAAAGUAUAAUUCUAAUUCUAGACGGAUGAGAUAGAAGCUGUGGUCUACUUUUGGGAAAGACUAUUGAAGCCCAAUGCUGAAGAAGGGAAGAGAGCGAAAGGAAGAGUAAGAGGAUAAGAGAGAAUGUUCUAGUGAGGUACUAACCGUAAAGUACUGUACAUAAAAGUGUUUUCCAGUGGCCGAAUGGAUAAAAUCGCUAAAAUUAUGCGUGAAUUCGCGCCUCAACAACAAGCCGAGCAUGAAAGAGUUCCGGGUUUUCUUCACUUGUCUCACACCUAAAUAGAGGUCAAUUUCCAUAGAAAGCAUCUUUCCUUGACAGAUCGCCCAGGUAUUGUGUUGCUUCAUUUUAUCAAACGAAAUCUAUUUACAAUUAUCUAUAGACUUUGAUACAUUAAUUUUUGAAUAAUCAAAUUAUAUUUAUAUAAAUUAAUCUUACUUUAUAGUUUAGAAAAACUGUAAUAAAAACGGCUGGAUGACCGGAAAGGAGGCUUUAACCUAACUCCUAACUAUCGAAUCCAGACGUCUCAGGAAUUUUUCAUAGAUGAUCUGUCCCGGAUAUGUCGGAACCCGUCCCUCGCCAUCUGCCACUUGCAUUGUGGGCCUGGCCGAGCUCAUGAUGGAUAUAGGAAAA